rnacentral:rRNA from 1 species
GACAAAGUCCCACCCGGCCACCCCAACCUCGUCUCCUCCCUCUUAUCCGCACAUCCCACAGUGCCUCGUCGCCCCACGGCCACCCGCUCCCCGUCGGCGCCCGGCCACCCUGCGCCCCGCUGCCUCCUGGCCACCCCGCGCCUUACCGUCGCCCGGCCACCCCGCCCCCCUGCCGGCGCCCGACCUCCCUGCGCCCCGCCGCCUCCCGGCCACUCCGCGCCUCGUCGCCGCCCGACCACCCCGCGCCUCGCCGCCGCCCGGCCACCCCGCGCCCGUCGCCGCCCGGCCACCCGGCGCCUCGCCGCUUCCCCAUCACAAGGGCCUCAGCCCCGGCGCCCCCCCAGCCCCGGCGACCCCAGCCCUGGCGCGCCUCCGCCCCGGAGACUUCCAUCUCCGGCCUCCUCCCUCCGUCGCCGCCGCGCCUCAGGCCACUCCCUCUGCCACCGACCUAGAUCCCUCCGAGCACCGCGCGCCAUCUCCUGCGAUUCCCAUCACCGCCGGUUUCUAGCGCGGCUCACCGCCUCCCAGCGACGAUGAGGAAGAUGACAGGGGAGCUGCCCGUCUUCACGCAUGGCGCCCCUGGUCCUUGGAUCCCCCCUCCCCGCUCCCCUCCGGCGACCCUACUCGCUCGCCUGGCGCUCGCUCCGGUGACCAGCCGCGCGUCACACGAUAGAUCUCGAAGCUCCUUUACAUUCAGCGCCGCCGCCACACAACCUCAUCUCCGUUUUCUCUUCAUUACGACCUGUAGCCUGUAGGAGUUUCUUCAGCUGCGGUUCAACAAGAAAACCAGCGGCAGUCCAUGCACCCGUUCUAUCUCUUUCCUCUCUAAUGCUCUUUAUCUUACUAAUUUGUUUUCUAUUGGAACUGCAGCCCGAGGGAGGUUGGACGGACAACAUAUUGGUGAUGUUAACAUCAGUCUGUUUAUAUUGAACUGAUGAUCGUGUAUUACUACUGAAGUCAAGCAAUGAGUUCAAUGGAUUCCAAAAAGGAAAAAACUGUGGAUGGGUGAUGAAUCAACUUCCUGUACAGUUGUGCCAUGAGCAGUGGAUGACCCCGACCACCGGCACCACUGCUUCCCGACCUCCUGCUUGCAUCGCGGAGAGCCCUGGCCGUUCACAGCCACCACUCGAGGCCAUUCAACGCCACACCCCAGGCCGUUCAUUGCCAGCAGCACCCUGGAUCCCACCCCUCACCCUACGAGUUUCAGUUAUCGACAGUCCUACUUCUCCAUGACGACAAGGACGACGUUGCCAUGCGUGCACGCUCCAACCUGUCCCCUGUCGCAGCCCCACCACUCGUUGCCGAUGCACUCCAACCCGAGGACCACCAUGAUGGAGGUCGCCUCACAGCCUAGCGAUGAGUGUUUGUUGGUUUCUCUUUCAUUAAUGGACAUCUUGGGCUUGCUGGGUGCAGAAUCAAAAAGCCCAAUCAUCAUCAGGGAUGAAAAAAAGGAGAGAAGCACGGGAAGAGGUACUAGUAGAAGAGGUAGAAGUAAUGUGGAAAAUGAGAUAAAUGUGAGAAUAGCAAGUAGUAAAGCAUGAGAGGGAUUCAGAUUUUGUUUUCACAUUCUUGCUGUACACGUACCUUUGGUCUGUAGAUGCACCGUAAUGGAUCUAGGAAGUAUGAAUGGUUAAUACCUCAAUGGUGCACUAUGCAUCUUUGGCCGGUUUUUAUGCAUUUUUAAAUGGUUGCGGAGCAAUUUAAUGGUGCGCUAUGCACUGAAG